ACGGCACGGAGCACCCGCCACGGCCAGCACCACGGCGCCAACGGGAGCAGCAGCGGCAGCAGCGACAGCGUCUCCGAACCGCCGCACACAGCCGGAAGUGGUCUGCUGUCACACCUGCCUCCCGUGGAGUUGACCAACUACGUCAGCCACCGGGAAGACAUCGAGGAGAGCACGAGGCGCAUUUCGAGUCUGGCCGCCCAGAGGAGGUUCUUACGCACCGCCGAGCGCUCGCGUAGCCAGUGGACCGAGAGUACGUCACCGGGAACGCCGCAGGUGCGCCGCUACGUGGGAUCCAACGCAAGCUCCGUGCCGUCGUCUGUCCUGGCCAACGGCACGUCGUCUGCUCUGGAUCGGAGGCUGCUACAUCCGGCCUACCGAAGGGACUCCCUUGAGUCUUUGCCGCAGUUACAGGACGGCUACCGCAGGACCCAGAGGAAGAAAGAGCAAGAGUCGUGUAGCAUUCAAUAGACGCGGGCAGUGGUCUGUGCUCUGUGCCCUUCGACGACCCGCUGGCGACAAAAGCUCGUCACCGCUGGCUGGAAGCUUCUGUGUCUGCGUCUGUUUCCACCCCUGUAGAUGCGAUGCUUCGCACCCGCGUCCUGCGAACUGUCGGCGGCAGCACCAGGCGGUGGUCUCUACCGGCCAGGACUACGACGGCCACCGUCAGGCAAGGCUCCCACGGCCGCAUCACGCUGCAAGACGUACUCCGAUUCUACGUGGAACGCUGAACAGUGUGUGCGCGGGGACGCUGUGACGUCGGCACUCGACGAAUCCUACUCGAUCCUGCUCGACGAAUCCUGCCGUUUCUAACCGGCCCAUGGCUGCCGCCGAAGGCAGGUUUAGGGACAGUGACCGCGAAAGACUGUGUGCUCUCCUCUGCGCAGAGCCAUGACUGCUACACGCUUUAGACACAUUUUAAGUGUUUUCAUACAUGGUGCUUUGCGUGUCACGCGUUCGCAGGACUAGACAUGUGCAACUGCGUGGUCAACCAUACACAAUCUACGUGUACAAGUCCCUGGUGUAAUGUUACAUACUGUGGCUUAACCUCUGCGAAAUGUGUCGGCGGUGAUAAGUGGAGUAGUUGACUUUCCGUGGAUUGGACACGUACUGCGUUGUAUGUGUGGCUGAUGGGUCAAUUGGUCUGUCGGUGCUACUGACGAUUGCAGUGCUUUUUUAUAAACGACACAAGAGCCAAAGUUCUGGGUCUAGGUUCGAGCAGUAUAGGCCAGAAGACUUGAGAAACGCGUUCUUACAGUAGAUACUCCGUCCAGUUUGUAUGACACAGUACAGCUGUCACGUGGCAUCAAUGCGACAAGGUGUACAGUCGUCUCCGCCCGAAUUUGUACGGCGUGUGAGUGUCCUGAAGUGCUUUGCAAAGGUCUGCCUAGUCAUUAUAUCCGACGUAGCGAAACACUGCAACGUGCUUUCGGAGUACUUGUCUGACGCAUUGUGCUACAACGUAGGAUUGAAUCACAAAGCGUACACGAACAUAACCAGUCAAAGCGGUUCUUUGUGUAGCCGUUCUGAAUUACCGAUGUAAUUACACAUGUAUAUUCUGCUAAUGACAGUUGUUCAUCUUUUGUCCUUAAGUGUUGUAUCAUGCGCAUGAGCGACAAUAACGCAUGUUUUAAUCAGGUCAUGAGCAUUCAAAUGUUAGUAGAAAAACCGCUACUCGAGUACAGCCUACAACUGGGUUCGCCGGAUGUCUCUGUCUAAACGUGUGGCCUGUCGGGAAGGGUUAUAGCUCACACGGUCGUUGACCUAAAGUGGCACUCAAGUAAAACAUUAAACAGAACUGUGUUAAUAAAUUAGAUCCGUUCUAUAGCGCUACAGCCCCUCUUAUUGCGAGAGAAGAUAUGGUAAGCCAGCAAGGACGCAAAAACGAAAAACAAAUGGCAGCACUUUUCAGAACUUCUCGUAACAACUUGCCGCAACGGCAUGGAUUUCAAGCAGCGACUGCUCCGGUCCUUAUAGGUGAAAAGCUUAUCGGUGAAAAAAGCAACUUUGCAUUCUGAACAAACAAAACAGUCAAUCUAACGAAGUUCCAGAAGUCUUUCUGCACCAAAACUGGCCAGUCUACAAGAAAAUUGUUUAGCUAACUGCCGUCACACAGACGCAGCCGCGCUGAGGUUUCACCGCGAGAUUCGGGAACUAAACGUCUUCGUUUUGGGCAGUAAUAUUCCGCCAAAUUAAUGUAAAUAGAGUUAUGAAGGCAUAGUUAUUUAGUGUACAGUGAUGUAAUGUUUCUCUUCAAUCUGUGUCUGUAAUCGAUUGGGAAUUGUUAGCAACUUCGCAAAUGUAUUCCCUUCCUGCGAACCGUCAGCAAAAACACUACGCUUGCAACAAGACAGAAUUCUGUAUGCUUCACCACGUUCGAAGGCCAAUUUCGACUUAUAGUGAUGUAAUUAGCUGAUUUCUGUAAACACGUAUUUAAUCCUUCCUACAGUCAUUGAACCACGAUGCCACUACAAAAAAAAACACCUUGUUUUUGUCACUCCGGUGAUCUGCGUGUUCUGACAUCCAGCUUCAUAUCACCGCGUAGAUACAACUUUUAAUCCCCCAGUUAAAAUCCGCGUGUCAAUAUCACCAAUUCGUUCUGAGACAACUGUUAUCAGUUCCUGAAUGAACAUCGGUCAGUCAUCCCAUCCGCGGCCAAGGUGUAGAUUAGCUGCCACAAAAAGAGUAAAGUAGCACGAACCAUGAGAGUUUAAAGCUAUCAUCAAAAACUGUUGAUUCGCUAAGUCGAUAAUCGCGUGGUGAGCUUUUUAACAUCCAUAUUUCGGUGUCAAGCGGAGCACAAUAAGAAAAGGACGGACAAUGACGCAAUACUGACAUUUCUCUAAGAGAGUUUCUCCAAUACUGGAGCAACUUGGCUGAUCAUUGUAUGAGCUAGCUUUUGCUGCUUUUCGUUGUUUAGCAAUGCAGGUAUCUUGCUCCAGCACAGUAGUAAUUUUUUGCGAAAAAUUAUGAGAAGCAUACCUUAUCGUCAAGAACGCCGAUGACUGGGUCAGCUGUUCGUAACAUACACGGUCCGCU